rnacentral:tRNA from 1 species
GGGCCUAUAGCUCAGCUGGUUAGAGCGUCCGACUCAUAAUCGGAUGGUCCCUGGUUCAAAUCCAGGUGGGCCCACCA